AGUGAACGCUGGCGGUAGGCCUAACACAUGCAAGUCGAACGGCAGCACAGUAAGAGCUUGCUCUUACGGGUGGCGAGUGGCGGACGGGUGAGGAAUACAUCGGAAUCUACUUUUUCGUGGGGGAUAACGUAGGGAAACUUACGCUAAUACCGCAUACGACCUACGGGUGAAAGCAGGGGAUCUUCGGACCUUGCGCGAUUGAAUGAGCCGAUGUCGGAUUAGCUAGUUGGCGGGGUAAAGGCCCACCAAGGCGACGAUCCGUAGCUGGUCUGAGAGGAUGAUCAGCCACACUGGAACUGAGACACGGUCCAGACUCCUAAGGGAGGCAGCAGUGGGGAAUAUUGGAAAAUGGGCGCAAUCCUGCUCCAGCCAUACCGCGUGGGUGAAGAAGGCCUUCGGGUUGUAAAGCCCUUUUGUUGGGAAAGAAAAGCAGCAGGUUAAUACCCCGCUGUUCUGACGGUACCCAAAGAAUAAGCACCGGCUAACUUCGUG
rnacentral:rRNA from 1 species